rnacentral:lncRNA from 1 species
GGAUCAUGAAACGACGCGCAGAUGGGGACGAUGGCGUCAGCGCAGCCGUUGUCCUUUGCCUGGCGCAGGGCGCAUUGGAACCGGGGCAGUGAGAGCGUCACGCCGCGCUCCCGCAACAGCGUGGCCGCGUCGACAUGGCCGUACUCGAUGGCGGUGACCAACGCGUGCGAGGCGAUAUUGGCGCUCUGCGACGAGGACGGCAUGCCAGGGUCGGGCAGAUUGUUUAAUAGCCAAUCAAGCGCCCCGACGUUGCCCGUGUGGCUGGCCCUCAGCAUCGUGGCGCGCCACCACCGGCGGACCGAGUCUGGCUUGCGGGAUACCAAAAGGCGCCAGACGCCUUCAAACUCGGACAUGCAUGCGCAUGCGGCCGCGACGAGCACCAACCGCUCCAUAAAAGGCGCCACGACCUCUGCGGUCAGCCAUCCGCGGUCGUGGAGCCAAAGGACCACGUUGGGGUGCUCAAGGUCGAGCGCAUUGUCGACCAUCCGCGCGAUCAUCUCCUCGUCGGGCAGCCAGUCCACGAAAAGCGCCUCGAUGACGUGGAUUUGCGCGUGCCUUGCUGCCGCGCAGAGGGCGUCCGGCCGCAAGUCGGCCAGCACGGCAGUCGCAUUGACCAAGUAGAGGACGGCGUCGGUGAGGCCUGACGCGGCUGCCGCGCGCACGGCCUCUCUGGAUGCCCUGGACCGCAUUGCGUGUGUCCGUUCUGGGUCGCCGCAUGCGCACUCGUGCCACGCCAGGCACAGGCACGGUCCGACAGGUUGGGCGUCGCCGGUGAGGCUCGCGAUCGCGCAGGCAAAGCGGAGCACAUCGAGGCGCCCGCUCCGCGCCGGACCCCAAACAAUUUGUUCAUAGUCGAGUUCGAGGCGGUGCGCCCAGCGGUUCCACACGGCGACGACGACCUCCACGGGUUCGUCCGAGUUGAACACGUUGGGCGCGUCGGAUCGAUCGGGCGCAUAGCGCCACAUACGGCGCUGGGUUUCGCCGGUGGCCUCGUAAAAGAGCCGCGAUGCCAGCAUGCACGCAACAAAGUCGCGAGCAUGGUCGAUAUGAUCCAAGACGGCAGCGCGCAUCUCGACCGGCAACGUGGCCCACGAUGUCAUGCUCGUUGGUGGCUCGGAUGAUGACGACGACGACAAUCGACAACCACAAAAAGUAAAUACACGGGGGAACGGCAGCGAAUAGCCGCUUGACUACACAUUUAUUUUUUCCGCCGCCCCUUUGACCCCUUUUCUCCGCCCCCUCCCCCUUGGCGGCCUGAGAUUUAGAGGUGGGCUGGCGCCAAUGAAAG